rnacentral:rRNA from 1 species
AUGGAGGAGGAGUUUUUCAUGGCGGUGAAGAGGACGGAGCACGUCGAGGUGACGUCCCGUUCGGUGGCGGCGUCGGCCAGGGGGGAGGAGGGGGUUGGUGGCGUCGAGCAGCCCAAGAUGGUGAGGGUGUUCUGCGACGACUUCGACGCCACCGAUUCCUCCAGCGAUGAGGAGGAGGGCGAGCGCCGGCGCGUGAAGCGCUACGUCCAGGAGAUCCGGCUGCAGCCCGCGGUCCAGGUUAAGGUGGAGGAGUCGGCGCCGGUGGCCAAGGCCGCGUCGGCGACGGCGACGACGAGGCCCAGGGUGAUGGUUCCCGUCAGGAAGAGGAAGGCCGAGGCCGGCGGCGAGCGGCGGUUCCGCGGCGUCCGGCGCCGCCCCUGGGGCAAGUACGCCGCGGAGAUCCGCGACCCGUGGCGACGCGUCCGCGUGUGGCUGGGCACCUUUGACACCGCCGAGGAGGCCGCCAAGGUCUACGACUCGGCCGCCAUCAAGCUGCGCGGCCCCGACGCCACCGUCAACUUCCAGCAGUCCGAGGACGGGGAGGACAUGGAGGUCCCCGCCGAGGUCGCCGAACGCCUUCCGCAGCCACCGGCGGGCUCCAAGAACGCCUCCUCCUCGGCCACCUCCUACGACUCGUGCGAGGAGUCCCAUGUCGCGGCCGCGUCCCCGACAUCCGUCCUGCGCUCCUUCCCUCAGUCCACCCUGGGCGCCGCCGUCGACGACGAGUCCUCCAAGAAGCCGUCCUCGUCUUCCAGCACCGCCGAGACCGACGAGUCGAGCGGCGUCUUCGGCUGCUCGUUCUCCGGCGACGACUUCGCCGGCGAGCUGGCCCCGCUCUACACCGACUUCGACCUCCUCUCCGACUUCGCGGAGCAGCCGAUGGACUUCCUGUCCAACCUCCCGGAGCCGGCCUUCGCAUUCUCCAGCGACUGCUCGUCGUCGGCCUACAACCCGUGUCCGCCCUCCCCGGCGGCGUUGCAGCAGGCGGACGCCUUCUUUGAGGACAUUACCGACUUGUUUCAAAUCGAUCCCCUCCCCGUCAUCUAG